CCAACUUAUCAGUGGUUUAAAGCACAUUCAGCAACUGGUUCUCACAUUUAUCAAGUUCAGAAUGAUCCCAUGUUUUCAACAGGAUUACAUUACAGACAUGGCAGAUAUUCAUUUUUUUUAAAUGAGACUCAAUGCAUUUCAACAUGGACAUAAGUGUAUAUAUCAGUUCCUUUAUCUGUGUGGACAUAUUAUUUCUCCAACCUAUCAAUCAGAUCAUGUAGCACAAUUAGCUUAUUGACUACAAGGCAGUAUUACAGCCUCAUCAGUGCCCGUGCAAACAUUCCAGAAGUAUGUUACUGAUUGUGAACCAAAAUUGUAAACCUACGCCGUAAAUCGUGAUGUACCAUAAAGGACAAACUACAGCUUCAUCAGUGCCCAAGCAGUCCAGAAGUAUGUUAAAGCGAACAUGAUUGUAAACCUACUCCAUAACUCGGGAUGUAGCUAAUUCCAGCAACUUGAAUCCUUAAAAUUGGACAACAUACACUUUUUAAA
rnacentral:lncRNA from 1 species